UCUCAGGGGCGGGGCUGCUAGCUUUGGCAUUUUUGCUUUUUGGUGGGCUUGGACUUCUAUGAGCCUCAUCGCCAGGCGCUCAGGAGGCUUUGUAGAGCGUCAAGCUGGAGAGAGAAAGGAUGUAAACCUUUUAUUCUCAGGUGGAAAGGAUUAAGCUUUGCAAAAUGUUAGCAGUAAAAUAUCGAUCUCCAGAAAAUAACUUGGAGAUUAGAUUGGACUUUUAAAUGGUACUGAACAGAAUUACGAUGUGUCACUUUAUGUGACAAAUGGAGAGAUUAAGUCCCAACCCGAGUUGUCUUGCAGAACACUAAAUGGCUUAAUGGCUUACGUUCCAUAGUUUAACUCUUAUGUACAGUUUUAUACUCGUUCAGAGUCAUUCGAGGGGCUAAGCUCCUCGAAACAGGGAGCACAUUCUAGGUGCAUUUCUAAUGGAAAAAAUUGAGAAGCACUACCUUAUCAUCAUACAAAGCAAAAUACGGAUCUUCUUUAUAGUUUUCUUAAAAUUUGAUGUCAGAAAGCAUGCACGGGAGCCUGCGGAACUGCAACCAUGCCACCAAAACCCUCAAUAGGGGCAUCUCUGAGUUCACUGUGAUGGCUGUAGAUCAGCCGCUGGGGAUCAUUCUGCACCUCCCACUGCUGUGUGAAGACAAGAAUGUGCCCUUCAAGCAGGCCCUGGAGUGGACCUGUGGGAUCUCCAGGCCUGUCAUUGCCUGUUCUGUCACUAUCAAAGAAGGCUCACAGUGGAAGCAGCAGAUCCAGUCCAUUCAGCAGGCUACCGAAACGCUCUUAGUCUAAACCUGUGGCCUCUGCCACAUUCUCCCUGCAGACUCCUCCUCCUGAGGUGGUGUAUCAUAUUGUCUGUGUUAGCAUGUAUUAUUUUCAGCUACAUUCUAUUGUUAUAAAAU